ACUUGUAAUUAAAGUUUGAUUUGAAAUCAAAAAUUUUGUUUUUGGUAACAAUACAAGUU
rnacentral:tRNA from 1 species